rnacentral:rRNA from 1 species
GGGCCCGCACAAGCGGUGGAGCAUGUGGUUUAAUUCGAUGAUACGCGAGGAACCUUACCAGGGCUUAAAUGUAAGUUGCAUAAGCUAGAGAUAGCUUUUUCUUCGGACUACUUACAAGGUGCUGCAUGGUUGUCGUCAGCUCGUGCCGUGAGGUGUCAGGUUAAGUCCUAUAACGAGCGCAACCCCUGUUGUUAGUUGCCAUCGAGUAAUGUCGGGAACUCUAACAAGACUGCCGGUGCAAACCGUGAGGAAGGUGGGGAUGACGUCAAAUCAUCACGGCCCUUACGUCCUGGGCUACACACGUGCUACAAUGGCCGGUACAGAGAGCAGCCACUACGCGAGUAGGAGCGAAUCUAUAAAACCGGUCUCAGUUCGGAUUGAGGUCUGCAACUCGACCUCAUG